rnacentral:rRNA from 1 species
UACGUAGGGUGCAAGCGUUAAUCGGAAUUACUGGGCGUAAAGCGUGCGCAGGCGGUUGUGCAAGACCGAUGUGAAAUCCCCGGGCUUAACCUGGGAAUGGCAUUGGUGACUGCACGGCUAGAGUGUGUCAGAGGGAGGUAGAAUUCCACGUGUAGCAGUGAAAUGCGUAGAGAUGUGGAGGAAUACCGAUGGCGAAGGCAGCCUCCUGGGCCAACACUGACGCUCGAUGCACGAAAGCGUGGGGAGCAAACAGG